AUUGAACGCUGGCGGCAUGCUUUACACAUGCAAGUCGAACGGCAGCACGGGCUUCGGCCUGGUGGCGAGUUGCGAACGGGUGAGUAAUAUAUCGGAACGUACCCAGAAGUGGGGGAUAACGUAGCGAAAGGUACGCUAAUACCACAUACGAUCUAUGGAUGAAAGCAGGGGACCGCAAGUCCUUGUGCUCCUGGAGCGGCCGAUAUCUGAUUAGCUAGUUGGUGAGGUAAAGGCUUACCAAGGCGACGAUCAGUAGCUGGUCUGAGAGGACGACCAGCCACACUGGAACUGAGACACGGUCCAGACUCCUACGGGAGGCAGCAGUAGGGAAUUUUGGACAAUGGGCGAAAGCCUGAUCCAGCAAUGCCGCGUGAGUGAAGAAGGCCUUCGGGUUGUAAAGCUCUUUUGUCAGGGAAGAAACGGUAGAGGCUAAUAUCCUCUGCUAAUGACGGUACCUGAAGAAUAAGCACCGGCUAACUACGUG
rnacentral:rRNA from 1 species